rnacentral:rRNA from 1 species
GAUUAAUAGUUAUGUGCUUUAAAGCUAAAUGAUUUGGCGGUAUUUUAAACUUUUCAGAGGAACCUGUUCAUUAAUUGAUACUCCACGAUUGAAUUAACUUAAAUUAGCAAUUUUUAUAUCGUCGUUAUUAAAUAUUUUAUAAGAAUAUAAUAUUUAAAAUUUUUUAUAAGGAAAUAAAUCAGAUCAAGGUGAAGUUUAUAUUUAAGAUGAAAUGGGUUACAUUAAAUUAUAUUUAUGGAUUUUAAAUUUUAAAAAUUUUAUGAAAUUGGAUUUGAAAGUAAUUAGUUAAAC